rnacentral:lncRNA from 10 species
AUAAACCUGCUCUCCUAGGAGACCUGAAGGCUGCUUCCGCUAACCCGGGCUGGCGCUGCUAACCUCACCCAACGAUCCCUGCUGUCGGAAAAUGUCCAGAGGCACCAUCCCUGCUAUGAAGAGGGAAUGCCAGUACAACAGCCACAAGGGGUCUUCCUGUGGCCCUCAAACAAAAAAUCACUGCAUUACAUCAGCAGGCCGGACGCGGUGGUUCAUGCCUGUAAUCCCAGCACUGUGGGAGGCCGAGACGGGCGGAUCACGAGGUCAGCAGAUCGAGACCAUCCUGGCUAACACGACUGCAUUGGAGAGAAAGGCGCCGGGACAGAAAAGCCUGAGAUAAACCACCUGUCAUUCUUGGAGAAAAGGAUGCUGCGGCUUUCCCGAUUUGGUUGAUGAGAUGGAAAAUCAACCCUUACAGGAAGGACAUCACCAAUUCCGGAAAGGAUGCUGCGCCAGUCAUGUUUCCGCACUCUGUGAGACGUUGAAAUCUCCAGAAGUUGCCCAAGGUUUUCAAGCUGAACACAGGAGAAAUGACUCUGGAUCUCUGAGGACUGUUUUCCUCAAUAAGGAGCUGCAAUCUUGGCUCCACCACCCUCCCUCCAAAACAUCUCGUGUGUCUGGUAUCUGGUUAUAUUGUGGCCUGACAGAGAAGUUUCUUUCGGGGCCAGUGAAU